AUUGAACGCUGGCGGCAUGCUUUACACAUGCAAGUCGAACGGUAACAGGCCUUCGGGUGCUGACGAGUGGCGAACGGGUGAGUAAUGCAUCGGAACGUACCCAGAGGUGGGGGAUAACGCAGCGAAAGCUGUGCUAAUACCGCAUGUGAUCUGAGGAUGAAAGCGGGGGACCGAGCAGCAAUGUUUGGCCUCGCGCCUUUGGAGCGGCCGAUGUCGGAUUAGCUAGUUGGUGGGGUAAAGGCCUACCAAGGCGACGAUCCGUAGCUGGUCUGAGAGGACGACCAGCCACACUGGGACUGAGACACGGCCCAGACUCCUACGGGAGGCAGCAGUGGGGAAUUUUGGACAAUGGGCGCAAGCCUGAUCCAGCAAUGCCGCGUGCGGGAAGAAGGCCUUCGGGUCGUAAACCGCUUUUGGCAGGAACGAAACGGUGUCCGCUAAUACCGGGCGCUAAUGACGGUACCUGCAGAAUAAGCACCGGCUAACUACGUG
rnacentral:rRNA from 1 species